CUUGAACGCUGGCGGCAGGCCUAACACAUGCAAGUCGAACGAGUGGCGGACGGGUGAGUAAUGUCUGGGAAACUGCCUGAUGGAGGGGGAUAACUACUGGAAACGGUAGCUAAUACCGCAUACCAUCGGAUGUGCCCAGACGGGAUUAGCUAGUAGGUGGGGUAAAGGCUCACCUAGGCGACGGUCCCUAGCUGGUCUGAGAGGAUGACCAGCAAAACGGGAACGGGGACACGGUCCAGAAUCCUACGGAAGGCCGCAGUUGGGAAUAUGGCACAAUGGGCGCAAGCCUGAUGCAGCAAUGCCGCGUGUGUGAAGAAGGCCUUCGGGUUGUAAAGUACUGUCAGCGGGGAGGCGUUACCCGCAGAAGGAGCACCGGCUAACGCCGUGCCAGCAGCCGCGGUAAUUC
rnacentral:rRNA from 1 species